rnacentral:rRNA from 1 species
UGGGGAAUAUAGCACAAUGGAGGGAACUCUGAUGCAGCGACGCCGCGUGAACGAAGAAGGCUUUCGAGUCGUAAAGUUCUUUUAUAUGGGAAGAUAAUGACGGUACCAUAAGAAGAAGCCCCGGCUAACUACGUGCCAGCAGCCGCGGUAAUACGUAGGGGGCUAGCGUUGUCCGGAAUCACUGGGCGUAAAGGGUUCGCAGGCGGAAAUGCAAGUCAGGUGUAAAAGGCAGUAGCUUAACUACUGUAAGCAUUUGAAACUGCAUAUCUUGAGAAGAGUAGAGGUAAGUGGAAUUUUUAGUGUAGCGGUGAAAUGCGUAGAUAUUAAAAAGAAUACCGGUGGCGAAGGCGACUUACUGGGCUCAUUCUGACGCUGAGGAACGAAAGCGUGGGUAGCAAACAGG